CGACUGACUAAGGGGGAUGAACCUAACCAAACGUUUCAUAAGGAGCACGAUGAGAAGAUGAUAGUGCUACCUUGCCCCCCCGAUCUGCCCGUUUGUGCUGAUGACAAGGUGAGUGCUGACGGGCCCUUCUGCUUCGUCUACACAACGCUAUUCAAGAAGGUGAAACUGAAGUUUCCCUUCACCCGAUUCGAGAGGGAACUCCUUACCGAGC
rnacentral:lncRNA from 1 species